rnacentral:rRNA from 14 species
AACUCGGAGAUAGCUGGUUCUCUGCGAAAUCUAUUUAGGUAGAGCGUCAUCCGAAUACCCCCGGGGGUAGAGCACUGGAUGGGUAAUGGGGCCCCACAGGCUUACUGAUCCUAACCAAACUCCGAAUACCCGGGAGUACUAGAUGGCAGACACACGGCGGAUGCUAACGUCCGUCGUGGAGAGGGAAACAACCCUGACCUACAGCUAAGGCCCCCAAUUCAUGGCUAAGUGGGAAAGCAGGUGGGACGACCAAAACAACCAGGAGGUUGGCUUAGAAGCAGCCAUCCUUUAAAGAAAGCGUAAUAGCUCACUAGUCGAGUCGGCCUGCGCGGAAGAUGUAACGGGGCUCAAACUGGUCACCGAAGCUGCGGCUGCAUACAUUGUAUGCGGGGUAGGGGAGCGUUCUGUAAGCCUGCGAAGGUGUGUUGAGAAGCAUGCUGGAGGUAUCAGAAGUGCGAAUGCUGACAUGAGUAACGACAAUGCGGGUGAAAAACCCGCACGCCGGAAGACCAAGGGUUCCUGCGCAACGCUAAUCGGCGCAGGGUGAGUCGGCCCCUAAGGCGAGACCGAAAGGUGUAGUCGAUGGGAAACGGGUUAAUAUUCCCGUACCUUGGAUAGCUGCGAUGGAGAGACGGAGAAGGCUAGGUGAGCCGGGCGACGGUUGUCCCGGUUUAAGCGAGUAGGGAGUGGACUUAGGCAAAUCCGGGUCCACAAUCUCGAGACGCGACGACGACUGCUCUUAGAGCGGGAAGUCAUUGAUGCCAUGCUUCCAGGAAAAUCUUCUAAGCUUCAGGCUAUUCGAGACCGUACCCCAAACCGACACAGGUGGUCAGGUAGAGAAUACCAAGGCGCUUGAGAGAACUCGGGUAAAGGAACUAGGCAAAAUGGUGCCGUAACUUCGGGAGAAGGCACGCUGGUGGUAGGUGAGACCCCUUGCGGGUGGAGCUGACGCCAGUCGAAGAUACCAGGCCCCUGCGACUGUUUAUUAAAAACACAGCACUGUGCAAACACGAAAGUGGACGUAUACGGUGUGACGCCUGCCCGGUGCCGGAAGGUUAAUUGAUGGGGUUAGCGCUUGCGCGAAGCUCUUGAUCGAAGCCCCGGUAAACGGCGGCCGUAACAAUAACGGUCCUAAGGUAGCGAAAUUCCUUGUCGGGUAAGUUCCGACCUGCACGAAUGGCGUAACGAUGGGGGCGCUGUCUCUACCCGAGACUCAGUGAAAUUGAAAUCGCCGUGAAGAUGCGGUGUAUCCGCGGCUAGACGGAAAGACCCCGUGAACCUUUACUAUAGCUUCACAGUGAACUUUGAGCAUGUUUGUGUAGGAUAGCUGGGAGGCUUUGAAGUGGGAACGCCAGUUCUCAUGGAGCCAACCUUGAAAUACCAGCCUGACAUGUUUGAGGUUCUAACUUGGUCCCCUUAUCGGGGAUGAGGACACUGUGUGGUGGGUAGUUUGACUGGGGCGGUCUCCUCCCAAAGCGUAACGGAGGAGCACAAAGGUGGGCUAAGCAUGGUCGGACAUCAUGCGGUUAGUGUAAUGGCACAAGCCCGCUUAACUGCGAGACAGACACGUCGAGCAGGUACGAAAGUAGGUCAUAGUGAUCCGGUGGUUCUGUAUGGAAGGGCCAUCGCUCAACGGAUAAAAGGUACUCCGGGGAUAACAGGCUGAUACCGCCCAAGAGUUCACAUCGACGGCGGUGUUUGGCACCUCGAUGUCGGCUCAUCACAUCCUGGGGCUGAAGCCGGUCCCAAGGGUAUGGCUGUUCGCCAUUUAAAGUGGUACGCGAGCUGGGUUUAGAACGUCGUGAGACAGUUCGGUCCCUAUCUGCCGUGGACGUUGGAGAUUUGAGGAAAGCUGCUCCUAGUACGAGAGGACCGGAGUGGACGAACCUCUGGUGUUCGGGUUGUGACGCCAGUCGCAUUGCCCGGUAGCUAUGUUCGGACAGGAUAACCGCUGAAAGCAUCUAAGCGGGAAGCCCCUUCCAAGAUGAGAUCUCCCUGGACCCUCGAGGUCCCUGAAGAGCCGUUCAAGACCAGGACGUUGAUAGGUCGGGUGUGUAAGCGCUGCGAGGCGUUGAGCUAACCGAUACUAAUUGCUCGUGCGGCUUGACC